GCUAAGAAUCUUCCGCAAUGGGGGCAACCCUGACGGAGCGACGCCGCGUGGACGAAGAAGGCCGCAAGGUUGUAAAGUCCUUUUGCAGGCGAAGAAUAAGGCGAGGAGUGGAAAGCCUGGCUGAUGACGUUAGCCUGCGAAUAAGCCCCGGCCAAUUACGUGCCAGCAGCCGCGGUAACACGUAUGGGGCGAGCGUUGUUCGGAAUUACUGGGCAUAAAGGGCGUGUAGGCGGUUCGGUAAGCCUGGCGUGAAAGGUACCGGCCUAACCGGUAGACGGCGCUGGGAACUGGCGGACUGGAGUUUUGGAGGGGGAGCUGGAAUUCCUGGUGUAGGGGUGAAAUCUGUAGAGAUCAGGAAGAACACCGGUGGCGAAGGCGAGCUCCUGGCCAAUGACUGACGCUGAGGCGCGAAAGCGUGGGGAGCAAACAGGAUUAGAAACCCUGGUAGUCC
rnacentral:rRNA from 1 species